rnacentral:rRNA from 1 species
AUGAUUCGGGCUGUUCAGCAAAAAAACGAUAUGUUUUUUUAUUGCUCAACUGUUCUCCACCUGGAUCUUGCAUGGAUGAAGAGCCCUUGCCUACAAUCCAUCCAUGCAUGCCGAUUGCCGAAGCUGGGCUUCCAAUCCCUGAGCUCAUCUGAGCACAUCUGGCGACCGAUCUGGACGACGGCUGGUCACAUGUCACAACAGCUGACCUCACUGUCUGACGCUGCCGAACUCGGCGUCGUACACGGCGGAGAGCUCGAAGUCGUCGUCGAACGCGGCCGGCACGUUGAGAUCGAAGGACCCGAAGCUGUCCCCGCAUUUCGCCGGAGACGGCGACGGCAUGUGCGCGCGCUUGUGGCCGCCCAGGGCCUGCCCGGAGCCGAACACGCGGAAGCAGAACGGGCACUCGUGGACGAUCGGGGCGUCGGCGCGGCAGGCCUUGCCAGCCGGCGGUGGCACGCAGCCGCCCUUGCCUUUCUUGACGCUGGCGCGGUGGCCGCCGAGGGCCUGGUACGACCGGAACACCUUCUUGCAUGCGCCGCACUGGUGCCUGGCGCGCGGGUGCACGUGCACCGGCGUCGCCUCGGCGUAGUAAGCCUCGCCGGCCACGUCGGGGCCGUCCUCGUCCUCGUCGAACACCUUGGUGCCGUCGUUGUUUUGCUCGGCCUCCGAGGCCCAGCGGGGCUCCGGCUCGGAUCUGGACCGCGUCCACGAGUCCCGAGACAGCAUCACGAGCGACAUGGCCACGUCCUCCUCCUGCGUCGAAUCGGAGACGGUGCUCGCCGGCUCGGGAUCCGGCACAGGCGGCGGCGCACGCCGCCGUGCCCGCUUGGAGCGCCGUCGGCUCACGGCGAACCCCGCGCCACCGCGCGGGGACUCCGUGUCGCUCUCGCCGUCCUGCACGACCGACGACUCGCCGGCCGCCGCGGUGACCCCGCCGAAGCAUCCGCCUGA